AGUGAACGCUGGCGGCAUGCCUAACACAUGCAAGUCGAACGGCAGCACAGUAAGAGCUUGCUCUUACGGGUGGCGAGUGGCGGACGGGUGAGGAAUACAUCGGAAUCUACUUUUUCGUGGGGGAUAACGUAGGGAAACUUACGCUAAUACAGCAUACGACCUACGGGUGAAAGCAGGGGAUCUUCGGACCUUGCGCGAUUGAAUGAGCCGAUGUCGGAUUAGCUAGUUGGCGGGGUAAAGGCCCACCAAGGCGACGAUCCGUAGCUGGUCUGAGAGGAUGAUCAGCCACACUGGAACUGAGACACGGUCCAGACUCCUACGGGAGGCAGCAGUGGGGAAUAUUGGACAAUGGGCGCAAGCCUGAUCCAGCAAUACCGCGUGAGUGAAGAAGGCCUUCGGGUUGUAAAGCCCUUUUGUUGGGAAAGAAAAGCAGCAGGUUAAUACCCGGCUGUUCUGACGGUACCCAAAGAAUAAGCACCGGCUAACUUCGUG
rnacentral:rRNA from 1 species